rnacentral:rRNA from 1 species
AUUGAACGCUGGCGGUAUGCUUAACACAUGCAAGUCGAACGAGUGGCGGACGGGUGAGUGAUGCAUAGAAAUCUACCUUUUAGUCUAGGAUAACUGCCCGAAAGGGUGGCUAAUACUGGAUGCUACGAGAUGAGCCUAUGUGGGAUUAGCUCGUUGGUGGGGUAAUGGCUCACCAAGGCGACGAUCUCUCGCUGGUGUGAGGGGUUGAUCAGGCACACUGGGACUGGGACAAGGGCCAGAAGUCUACGGGAGGGAGGAGGUGGGAAUACUGGACAAUGGGCGAAAGCCUGAUCCAGCAAUACCGGGGUGGUGAAGAAGGCCCUAGGGUUGUAAAGCACUUUUGGUAGGGAGAUGUUACCUAAAGAAUAAGCACCGGCUAACUCCGUGCCAGCCGCCGCGGUAAUUC